AGAAGGGCCCUGGAUGUAA
rnacentral:rRNA from 1 species